rnacentral:rRNA from 1 species
GACGAACGCUGGCGGCGUGCUUAACACAUGCAAGUCGAACGGUGAUGCGGAGCUUGCUCCGCGGAUCAGUGGCGAACGGGUGAGUAACACGUGAGUAACCUGCCCUCGACUCUGGGAUAAGCGUUGGAAACGACGUCUAAUACUGGAUACGACCUCAGAAGGCAUCUUCUUUGGUGGAAAGAACUUCGGUCGAGGAUGGACUCGCGGCCUAUCAGCUUGUUGGUGAGGUAAUGGCUCACCAAGGCGACGACGGGUAGCCGGCCUGAGAGGGUGACCGGCCACACUGGGACUGAGACACGGCCCAGACUCCUACGGGAGGCAGCAGUGGGGAAUAUUGCACAAUGGGCGCAAGCCUGAUGCAGCAACGCCGCGUGAGGGAUGACGGCCUUCGGGUUGUAAACCUCUUUUGGCAAGGAAGAAGCGAAAGUGACGGUACCUGCAGAAAAAGCACCGGCUAACUACGUGCCAGCCGCCGCCGUAA